rnacentral:rRNA from 1 species
CCUACGGGCGGCUGCAGUGGGGAAUAUUGGGCAAUGGGCGCAAGCCUGACCCAGCGACGCCGCGUGAGGGAAGACGGUCUUCGGAUUGUAAACCUCUUUCAGCAGGGAAGACAAAAGGACGGUACCUGCAGAAGAAGCCACGGCUAACUACGUGCCAGCAGCCGCGGUAAUACGGGGGAUGCAAGCGUUAUCCGGAUUUAUUGGGUUUAAAGGGUGCGUAGGCUGUGAGGUAAGUCAGCGGUGAAAUGCCCCCGCUCAACGGGGUGAAGUGCCAUUGAUACUGCCUUGCUGGAAUGCGGAUGCGGUGGGAGGAAUGUGUGGUGUAGCGGUGAAAUGCAUAGAUAUCACACAGAACACCGAUUGCGAAGGCAUCUCACGAAUCCGCGAUUGACGCUGAUGCACGAAAGCGUGGGUAUCAAACAGGAUUAGAUACCCUUGUAGUC